rnacentral:rRNA from 1 species
CCUACGGGUGGCUGCAGUGGGGAAUUUUGGACAAUGGGCGAAAGCCUGAUCCAGCAAUGCCGCGUGAGUGAAGAAGGCCUUCGGGUUGUAAAGCUCUUUCAGUCGAGAAGAAAAGGUUAUGACUAAUAAUCGUAAUCAAUGACGGUAUCGACAGAAGAAGCACCGGCUAACUACGUGCCAGCAGCCGCGGUAAUACGUAGGGUGCGAGCGUUAAUCGGAAUUACUGGGCGUAAAGGGUGCGCAGGCGGUUUUGUAAGUCAGAUGUGAAAUCCCCG